ensembl:snRNA U6 U6 spliceosomal RNA
GUGGCACUCGCUUCGGCACGUAUACUAAAAUUGGAACGAUACAGAGAAGAUAAGCAUGGUCCCUGUGCAAGGGUGACACACAAAUUCUGUGAAGCGUUCCAUAUUUUU